rnacentral:ncRNA from 2 species
CGAAUCAUGGGCGAUGGGGUUCGCCUGAACGGCAGCGGUGUUUGAUAUGACACCGGAUGAUGAUGACCCCUACUUUAAA